GUUGCCAAAGGCAGAUUUCAAAUUAUUAUUCAGUGUUGUUAUUCUUUCAGAAAUAUCUUCCAACUCCAAUUUGACUAUGUGGUGUGUUCUCUUGGAUAUAAAAUUCCCCAAGAGGUAUCCUGAAAUAAAUUUCAAGGCCAAGUUCCUUAUUUUUGGACAAUAAUGCGUCCCCACAUCGUACGAGGAUUUUUGAUGAAGCUCUGGAAAUUCAUGGUAUUCCCCAUUCGGCCUUGUCCCCUCAAUCGCCAGACCUCAAUCCCAUGGAAUACUCUUAGGAUCCUGGAUCAUCGACAAAGAGCUUUGGAUUCUCACCAAUCAUCUUCUCAUACACUUCAACAACCCAGAUGACACUUACAAGUCUGGAGAGAAAUUGAUAAAGGCUUCUUCAACAAUCUGAUCGAAAAUAUGCAAAACGUUGUCAAGAUGUGAUUGAUGUUCGAGGAGACACUAUACUGUUUACUGAACUUUAUUUUUUCAAUUUUCUGAGUGAAAUGAUUUUGUACUACAAAUACUAAAAAUUCGUUUUCAUCAGAAACUGUGAAACUUAUGAAGGAAUGGCCAAAAAAAAAACGAUUUAGAUAAGUGAGUAAACAUAUUUAAAAAAUUGGUGAAAAAAAAGGAAACUUCUGAAACAACACAAAAUGUCAGUAUAUAUUUAUGAACUAAACAUAAACAAACUCCAAAAAAAACAUAAUUCCAAAAAGUAUAGUAUGAUCAUGCCAGGCAUUAGUCAGACAUCAGAAAUAGACUUAAAUAAAGGUUAAGUGUAUUACGGUUUUAAUGAACUAGUUAUGUAAACCACCUUGUAUGUCAAAAAAUAUACUUACCAGAAUGACCUGA